GACGAACGCUGGCGGCGUGCUUAACACAUGCAAGUCGAACGGAAAGGCCCUGCUUUUGUGGGGUGCUCGAGUGGCGAACGGGUGAGUAACACGUGAGUAACAUGCCCUUGACUUGGGAUAACAUCAGGAAACAGGGGCUAAUACCGGAUAGGAACUCCUGCUGCCUGGUGGGGGAUGGAAAGAUUCGGCGGUUGGGGAUGGACACGCGGGUUAUCAGCUUGCUGGUGGGGUAGUGGCUUACCAAGGCUUUGACGGGUAGCCGGCCUGAGAGGGUGGCCGGCCACAUUGGGACUGAGGUACGGCCCAGACUCCUACGGGAGGCAGCAGUGGGGAAUAUUGCACAGUGGGCGGAAGCCUGAUGCAGCAACGCCGCGUGCGGGAUGACGGCCUUCGGGUUGUGAACCGCUUUCGCCUGUGACGAAGCGUGAGUGACGGUAAUGGGUAAAGAAGCACCGGCUAACUACGUG
rnacentral:rRNA from 1 species